UUUUACUUUUUUGGUAUAGACUUUACUGACAAGACUGCAGUGUGUGGUACUUCGGCGGGCGCGUCGAUGCGACGGCCUGUUAAGCUUCCCGCCGAGGUAGGAAGGGGAGUACUCAGGUGUGGAGAUGAUCGGUUUACCCAAUCGAUUCUCAGUAAUGAUCCUUCCGAAGGUUCACCUACGGAAA
rnacentral:misc_RNA from 1 species